CCUUCGAUAGCUCAGUUGGUAGAGCGGUGGACUGUAGAAAAUGUGAAUAAUGCUAAAUAUAGAUAUCCAUAGGUCGCUGGUUCAAAUCCGGCUCGAAGGA
rnacentral:tRNA from 1 species